rnacentral:tRNA from 1 species
GUGCACUUAGCUCAGUGGUUAGAUCACCCUUCUAGAGUUUCAGGGACAAAAAGUCAUGGGUUUGAGUCCCGUAGUGCACA